rnacentral:rRNA from 1 species
CUCCUACGGGAGGCAGCAGUAGGGAAUCUUCCGCAAUGGGCGAAAGCCUGACGGAGCAACGCCGCGUGAGUGAUGAAGGUNUUCGGAUCGUAAAACUCUGUUAUUAGGGAAGAACAAAUGUGUAAGUAACUGUGCACAUCUUGACGGUACCUACUCAGAAAGCCACGGCUAACUACGUGCCAGCAGCCGCGGUAAUAC